CUUAUUUCUGUCCUUUGAAUCUAUAAGUGAUGGGAAAAUCUCUCUAUGUUUCCCUUGUGUUGCAUUCAAAACCUAAUGAGGAUAUGCUAUUAUGGAUUACCUGUACAUUUUAGCUAGCAAUAUUACAAUUCUUUUAUUUACAAACUUGUUUGGUCAUCAUAGGAGGAGACAGGUAAUAUUUGAGAUGUUUCAUCCUAAAAUACCCAUGAAACUGCACAGAAAGAGUGAAAAAAAGAAGGAAAAUAAAUGUAAAUUUAAGAUGGAGACAGACCAUGUGCUUAAAUCCAUAGGGAAUGUCUACUACUGUGAUUGUCAGUGGGAUGGGUUGAGAAGCAUAUUCUCAAGAUUACAAGAUGCAUGGCUCACAAACGGAACCAGAGAAGCCCAGCUGGUGCUGAAGGAGAAUGGGAAGCAAGUACCCCUAGCCCCCAUCAUUUGCUCCCAACUACUUCAGGAACGUGGAGAUACACCGGCCAGAAAAGCAAACAUUCCAGCUGGGAAGAAGCUGCCUUCUGAGCCAGCCAGAGAUAUAAAACUUGGAGGAGCUGUAAUUGCACAUCGAUCAUCUUUAACUUUCCUACACUGACUGCUCAUAGGGAGUGAGCUGAAGAUUAAAUCCUGAAGCCUGCCCCAUUUGGAGAGCAGCAGCCUGGUUUCUGGUGGCCACAGCAGCAG
rnacentral:lncRNA from 1 species